rnacentral:rRNA from 1 species
UACGUAGGUGGCGAGCGUUGUCCGGAAUGACUGGGCGUAAAGGGAGCGUAGGUGGUUAUUUAAGUUAGAUGUGAAAGCCCAGGGCUCAACUCUGGAAUUGCAUUUAAAACUGGAUAACUAGAGUGCAGGAGGGGUGAACGGAAUUUCUAGUGUAGCGGUGAAAUGCGUAGAUAUUAGGAAGAACACCGGAGGCGAAGGCGGUUCACUGGACUGCAACUGACACUGAGGCUCGAAAGCGUGGGGAGCAAACA